rnacentral:rRNA from 1 species
CCUACGGGUGGCAGCAGUGGGGAAUAUUGCGCAAUGGGCGAAAGCCUGACGCAGCGACGCCGCGUGAAGGAAGAAGGCUUUCGGGUUGUAAACUUCUUUUAAGGGGGAAGAGCAGAAGACGGUACCCCUUGAAUAAGCCACGGCUAACUACGUGCCAGCAGCCGCGGUAAUACGUAGGUGGCAAGCGUUGUCCGGAUUUACUGGGUGUAAAGGGCGUGCAGCCGGAGAGACAAGUCAGAUGUGAAAUCCACGGGCUCAACCCGUGAACUGCAUUUGAAACUGUUUCCCUUGAGUGUCGGAGAGGUAAUCGGAAUUCCUUGUGUAGCGGUGAAAUGCGUAGAUAUAAGGAAGAACACCAGUGGCGAAGGCAGAUUACUGGACGAUAACUGACGGUGAGGCGCGAAAGCGUGGGGAGCAAACAGGAUUAGAUACCCCAGUAGUC